UCGGAUACUCUAUAGCAUAAGUCAUCAACCUAAGAAAAAUGAAAUAAAGUUCUGCUGAACCACAACAUAGAAGACAAAAUUCAGGGCACCGUUAGAUUUAACUUGCUAUGCUCUUGAGCAAGUUGAGCACAAUACAAUAUAACAUGUACAAAUACAGACUUCUAAUUCAUCAAGAACCUGGAUGUGACAAAUCUUCCAUCCUGCAAGAAAUGUAUGACUCGAGUGAAAUAAUGAAUAGCCACAAAGGGGGCAAAACCAUAUGCCUUUUUCUUCCACCAAUUAGAAGGUCAAAGAGUGUUCACAGUCAUCCCAAUUAGACAGUUUACACUGACAACAUUUUAUACACAACCGCAAUAAUAUACUGAGAAUUCCAUAUUUUGACUUAAUUUUACACCUUUCAUCCACACAUGUUAAAACAACCUCAUUUUGAACUGAACUUGGAGCUCACUGAGUCGUAGCUUGGGACAUAUAUGACUGCUGACAAUGAAUUGAAAAAAUUAACAUUAGAGGAGAUACAAAAACCGUUAAGGAGAAUUCUUUUGAAAAAACACCAUCUCUAUAUGAUUCCAUUGUAAGAGGGGAGGAUAUGAACUGCAAUUCAACAAAAUCACAUUAUCACGAGUAAUAGUAAUUUAUGAAGAAGAUUGGAAAUUGAGAUAGAAAGGGUUGGAAAUUGCCAUGACAGGUUGUGGAGUCCCAGAUUGAGGAGUUUGAGUGUGGCAUGCAUAUCCAAAACAGUAUGCAUCUUUCUCUUUCAUUCAUGUUCAAUUUCAUACCUCUCUUGCGAGUGCAAACGAAUCAACAUAAGCCUGCAUAAUUUGAAACACAAUUAAAAUGACCAAAUGACACUUGUCAAACUGUAAAAAAAGCAGACCUGAAUAGUAAGGACAAGGGUUGUUCAUAGCCAUUGAUUCAGAGUCAACGCUAAUUAAUGUUUCAGUGGAUCCUUGCACGGGCUCAGGCACUAAAGAUGUUAAGGAUUUAACACUAUGAAUUGAGGAUUUAAAUUGUAAUUGCAUUUCGGGUAAUUUUUAAAAUUAGGGUCCAUCUGAAUUCAAAAUUAUAAGCAACUAGGGUCAAACACAGCAUCAAGAUUCAUCCUCACAAUCAUUCAUCUUGCAUGCAAUACCUCAUCCCCACAAUACAAAACAACCACUAAAAUUCAGAUUCAUCAAGAUCAAAUGCAUUUGAAUGAGAUCAUAAUAGCAUAUCAUCCAUUUACAAAUUAUGAAUAAAGAAUUCAUACCACAAGUAUAUAAUUUCGAUCCAACCAUCUAUCCAUUGUGAAUAAAGAAUUCAUGUUACAAUAUCAUUUAGGAGUUCAAGAAAGUCAUAAAUAAAUCACAUCAUUAUCAGCUGAAGUUCAAGAAACACACAUCAUUAUCAGUUGAGGUUCAUGAAAAUUACAUAGCUUAAGUUCAAGAAAAUUACAUAGCUUAAGUUCAAGAAAAUCACAUGAUUAUCAGUUCAGGUUCAAGAAAACCACAUCAUUAUCAGCUGAAGUUCAAGAAAAUGAC
rnacentral:lncRNA from 1 species